rnacentral:rRNA from 1 species
AACGUAGGACGCAAACGUUAUCCGGAGUUACUGGGCGUAAAGCGCGAGCAGGCGGUUUAGUAAGUUACCUAUGAAAGCUCCUGGCUAAACUGGGAGAGGUUAGGUGAUACUGUUAGACUAGAGUAAGGUAGAGGGAAGUAGAAUUCCGGGUGUAGUGGUGAAAUGCGUAGAUAUCCGGAGGAAUACCAGUGGCGAAGGCGGCUUCCUGGCCCUUAACUGACGCUGAGACGCGAAAGCGUGGGUAGCGAACGGGAUUAGAAACCCCCGUAGUCC